UUAUUUCAUUCUCAAAUUCCCAAACUAUUCGAUCUCUCUUUCUCCAUUCCAUCUGAAGCAUAGGGUUGAUUUGAAGCUUCCUUCCAUGGCUACGUUGGAUUUGAUCUGAAGCACACAGCAAAAGAUUCCAGAGUACCCUGACACUGAAAGAGAUUGCACAGUACCCUGACACUGAAAGAGAGUACCCUGGCACUUGUCUCAAGCUUACGUUAUUUGUUUACAUGAUUGUUUUAAUGUAUUAUCUUAAAGUUGCUUUUGAUACUAUUGUAGUGAGCUGUGGAAAUCUCCCUUCUUUAACACUAUCACAGGUAUACUGAAAACCUCCCUUCUUUUUGCAUAUGUUAUAGGCCAUGUUUCUAGGAGGAAGAACAUUGGGAUUAUGUCAGUGGUAUACACAUUCAAAUGGCGAGAUCCUUCAAGGAAGGAAUGACACACUGAUCCAAAAAGCUGGAACAUUUUCCAUGAGGGAAAAAAAUAGUGGCUUAAUUGCCUUAUUUUCUCCAUUGUUGAACAUAUUUUAUCUAUUUUGAUAAUUCAUAGUUUCUUUUAUCUCUACGAGAUAAGAAAGUGAAUGGAUUAAGAUUGUUUGUUCUUAUUUUAAGUGAAUGACAUUGUUUUGAGUUUGGUAAUUCUUCUUUAUUACGUUCGAACUUAUUUUUCUUGUAAAUUUU